GAUGAACGCUGGCGGCGUGCCUAAUACAUGCAAGUCGAGCGAACAGACGAGGAGCUUGCUCCUCUGACGUUAGCGGCGGACGGGUGAGUAACACGUGGAUAACCUACCUAUAAGACUGGGAUAACUUCGGGAAACCGGAGCUAAUACCGGAUAAUAUAUUGAACCGCAUUGUUCAAUAGUGAAAGACGGUUUUGCUGUCACUUAUACAUGGAUCCGCGCCGCAUUAGCUAGUUGGUAAGGUAACGGCUUACCAAGGCAACGAUGGGUAGCCGACCUGAGAGGGUGAUAGGCCACACGGGAACUGAGACACGGUCCAGACUCCUACGGGAGGCAGCAGUAGGGAAUCGUCCGCAAAGGGCGAAAGCCUGACGGAGCAACGCCGCGUGAGUGAUGAAGGUCUUCGGAUCGUAAAACUCUGUUAUUAGGGAAGAACAAAUGUGUAAGUAACUAUGCACGUCUUGACGGUACCUACUCAGAAAGCCACGGCUAACUACGUG
rnacentral:rRNA from 1 species